UACGUAGGUGGCAAGCGUUGUCCGGAUUUACUGGGCGUAAAGGGCGUGCAGGCGGUUUGUUAAGUGCAGGGUGAAAGCUCCCGGCUCAACUGGGAGAGGUCCUUGCAUACUGGCGAACUCGAGGGAGGCAGAGGAAAGUGGAAUUCCGGGUGUAGCGGUGGAAUGCGUAGAGAUCCGGAAGAACACCGGUGGCGAAGGCGGUUAGCUGGGCUGAUACUGACGCUGAGGUGCGAAAGCGUGGGGAGCAAACAGGG
rnacentral:rRNA from 1 species